UACGAAGGGGGCUAGCGUUGCUCGGAAUCACUGGGCGUAAAGGGUGCGUAGGCGGAUCUUUAAGUCAGGGGUGAAAUCCUGGAGCUCAACUCCAGAACUGCCUUUGAUACUGAGGAUCUUGAGUCCGGGAGAGGUGAGUGGAACUGCGAGUGUAGAGGUGAAAUUCGUAGAUAUUCGCAAGAACACCAGUGGCGAAGGCGGCUCACUGGCCCGGUACUGACGCUGAGGCACGAAAGCGUGGGGAGCGAACAGG
rnacentral:rRNA from 1 species